GUACAAUAAGCAAAAUAAGGGCGUAUGGGGGAUGCCUAGGCUCUUGCAGGCGAGGAAGGACGUGAUAAGCUGCGAUAAGCUUCGGGGAGCGGCACACACGCUUUGAUCCGAAGAUUUCCGAAUGGGGCAACCCAAUACAUUGAAGAUGUAUUACCCGAUAGGGGGCGAACGCGCUGAACUGAAACAUCUAAGUAGGCGCAGGAGAAGAAAACAAAAGUGAUUCCGUAAGUAGUGGCGAGCGAACGCGGAUUAGCCCAAACCAGUUAUGUUACGGCAUAGUUGGGGUUGUAGGGCCACGACAUUGUAUGUAAAGUGAACCGGAAGGACCUGGAAAGGUCCGCCACAGAGGGUGAUAGCCCCGUAUGGGUAAGCGAUAUAAUACAUAGUGGUACCCUGAGUAGGGCGGGGCACGUGAAACCCUGUCUGAAUCCGCCGGGACCAUCCGGUAAGGCUAAAUACUCGCAAGAGACCGAUAGUGAACCAGUACCGUGAGGGAAAGGUGAAAAGAACCGUGAAUAACGGAGUGAAACAGAUCCUGAAACCAUACGCCUACAAGCGGUCGGAGCCCUUUCGUGGGGUGACGGCGUGCCUUUUGCAUAAUGAGCCUACGAGUUACCGUUGCCGGCAAGGAUAAGCUAUUAAGUAGUGGAUCCGUAGCGAAAGCGAGUCUGAACAGGGCGCUAUAGUCGGUAAUGGUAGACGCGAAACCGUGUGAUCUACCCAUGGGCAGGAUGAAGCUGUGGUAACACACAGUGGAGGUCCGAACCGGUUGACGUUGAAAAGUCUUCGGAUGACCUGUGGGUAGGGGUGAAAGGCCAAUCAAACUCGGAAAUAGCUCGUACUCCCCGAAAUGCAUUUAGGUGCAGCGCUGAGCGUAAAGUUAUAUAGAGGUAGAGCUACUGAUUGGAUGCGGGGGCUUCACCGCCUACCAAUUCCUGACAAACUCCGAAUGCUAUAUAAUGUUUCUCAGCAGUGAGGGCUUGGGUGCUAAGGUCCAAGUCCGAGAGGGAAAGAACCCAGACCAUCAGCUAAGGUCCCCAAAUGUAUGCUAAGUUGAAAGAACGAGGUCCGAUUGCACAGACAGCUAGGAUGUUGGCUUGGAAGCAGCCAUUCAUUUAAAGAGUGCGUAACAGCUCACUAGUCGAGCGAUCGGGCAUGGAUAAUAAUCGGGCAUAAGCAUACUACCGAAGCUAUGGAUUGAUAGUGAUAUCAGUGGUAGGGGAGCAUUCUGACAGGGUUGAAGGUGUGUCGUGAGGCAUGCUGGACCGGUCAGAAAAGAAAAUGUAGGCAUAAGUAACGAUAAUGCGGGCGAGAAACCCGCACACCGAAAGACUAAGGUUUCCUCAGCUAUGCUAAUCAGCUGAGGGUUAGUCGGGUCCUAAGGCGAACCCGAAAGGGACAGUCGAUGGCCAACGGGUUAAUAUUCCCGUACU
rnacentral:rRNA from 1 species